AGAUAAUAAAAAAGAAUCUCAUAAACUUUCCAUUACUAAAAGAAAAAUUGAUACAAAGUAUUUAGGUUUUCGAGAAAAAAUAAGAAGCACAUUACAAUUUGGUCUUCUUGUCUACGGAGUACUUUGUUAAAGUUUACCAGAGAAGGAAGAAUUUGCUUGUUUGAUUGGAAUUCGGCCCUUCAUCAUCUUCUUCGUUAAAUUGCUGCUCUGAAUUACAGUGUAGUGGGCAUACUUGAUCUCAGACAAAAUAAAUGGUAAUUCUACUCUGAAAAUCAGGACAUAGUUUUGUUCUGGCCACUCUCUUUUGAGGUAAAUCAGGAAGGUGGAAUUAGCAAUGUAAACUUUGAACAUCAGGGAAGCAAGAUCUAGAUGGCAGAAUACGAGAAACUAAGAUAAAAAACUAUAGAACAAAAUAGAAUCAGGAUGAAGGAUUUAGGGGUUACAUCCAUCGCUUAUGAAAUGAAACAGUUGAUGAAGGGAUCGAAACAAACGAAAAAAAGGAAGAAGGUGACUCAUGUACAACGAAAGUCGUAAAAGGAAAGAAGACAAAAAAUACAAAACAUCUUAUGAGCCCACCCAAAGUAACAUUGACAAGAUGGAGGAGGUACAAAUUCAAAGUGAAAUUGAUGGAGAUGUUGCAUACUAUGAAGUAAUGAAUAAACCAAAUAACUUUGACCAUUGAAAAAAGCAAUCGGGGAUAUGUUCACUAAGGGGAAAGAGCAACAAACCAAUAAUUCCCGAUGAGUUCUUAAAGCCCUAUAAAGACCAAAUUGUGAAAGAAACUGUAGCAGAAUUAAUGAAGACGCUCAAGCAAAUUGAUCCCGAAGUGUUGGAUACUUUGACUCGGUCACUUAAAAAUAUGUCAUCCAAUCCAGAACUUACAGAUCAUAUUCCUAUUGUACACUCUAAUGAACAACAGCGAAAUGAGGUACAAUUGGAUCAAGAUGAAGAAUUAGGAUAGCAAUUGAUGAUGCUACGAGAACUUACUCUUACCGUUGUUUUGCUGCUGCUACCGUUGUUUUGGUGCUGUUUUUUUUGCUGUUACUGCUGUUUUUUCGCUGCUAUUGUUGUCUGAUUUGUUGCUAACUCUUGCUACUUUGGUUUGUUGCCACUGAUCUCUGCUACUACUGGUUGCUGCUAACUCCUGUCUGCUACUGCUGGAAGCUACCAUUCCUGUCUGCUACUGUUGGUUGCUGCUAAAGACUGCUGCUAGCAGCUUCUGUUACUACUUCUGCCAUUCUGCUAGCUGCGUAGCUGUUGCCGUUCUGCUAGCUAGCUGAUGUGUAGCUGCUGCUAUACGUUGUUAUUAAUGCUCUUUACUGUUAUCGCCGACUUUUUUGAAAUUUGGAAGUUUUUGGUUUUUCCUUACUUUUUCCAAGUUAGAGAUCGAAUUUAAUUUUCUUUGUGUUUGGAUUAUUAUAUUGUUUGGCCAAACAUUAAAAUUGGUGUUUAUGGAUUUUUUUUUGUAAGAAUUAUGAAAGUAUUUCAAUCCAAAUUGUUUUCU